GGGGGUAUAGCUCAGCUGGGAGAGCAGCAGACUGAAGUAAUACGUAACACGUGCACUUUCUGAAGGUCCCGCGUUCGAUCCGCGGUACCCCCA